UCUACGGGAGGCAGCAGUGGGGAAUAUUGCGCAAUGGGCGAAAGCCUGACGCAGCGACGCCGCGUGAGGGAUGAAGGUCUUCGGAUCGUAAACCUCUGUCAGCAGGGAAGAACGGUCACUGUGCUAAUCAGCCGUGAAUUGACGGUACCUGCAAAGGAAGCACCGGCUAACUCCGUGCCAGCAGCCGCGGUAAUACGGAGGGUGCGAGCGUUAAUCGGAAUUACUGGGCGUAAAGCGCUCGUAGGCGGUAUGUCAAGUCAAGGGUGACAUCCCCGCGCUCAACGUGGGAACUGCAUUUGAAACUGGCAAACUGGAGUGUGUGAGAGGAGAGUGGAAGUCCAGGUGUAGGAGUGAAAUCCGUAGAUAUCUGGAGGAACACCAGUGGCGAAGGCGACUAUCUGGCACAUAACUGACGCUGAGGAGCGAAAGCGUGGGUAGCAAACAGGAUUAGAUACCCUGGUAGUC
rnacentral:rRNA from 1 species